CGAACGCUGGCGGCAAGCUUAACACAUGCAAGUCGAACGGAUUUUUAUCAUAGCUUGCUAUGAUAAAAAUUAGUGGCAGACGGGUGAGUAAUGCAUAGGAAUCUACCUAGUAGUAUGGGAUAGCCACUAGAAAUGGUGGGUAAUACUGUAUAAUCCCUGCGGGGGAAAGAUUUAUCGCUAUUAGAUGAGCCUAUGUUAGAUUAGCUAGUUGGUAGGGUAAAGGCCUACCAAGGCAGUGAUCUAUAGCUGGUCUGAGAGGAUGAUCAGCCACACUGGAACUGAGAUACGGUCCAGACUCCUACGGGAGGCAGCAGUGGGGAAUAUUGGACAAUGGGCGCAAGCCUGAUCCAGCUAUGCCGCGUGAGUGAGGAAGGCCUUAGGGUUGUAAAACUCUUUCAGUGGGGAAGAUAAUGACGGUACCCACA
rnacentral:rRNA from 1 species